AAACUUCUGAGCUUGGUUGCUCAUUCACCACCAUCUUGUGCGCAACGAAUUCUGGGAGAAGAGAGGCCGCAAAGGAUGCAUCACCAGCAGCCUUCGUCUGAGGCCAAACAAAGUGCCGAUUUGUAGGAUCCUUCAAAGACUUCGC